rnacentral:lncRNA from 1 species
GGCGGAUGGACGGAUGGGAGGUGGAUGGGUGAUGAGUGGAUGGGUGGAUGAUGGAUGGAUAGAUAGAUGGGUGGAUGGGUGGAUAGAUGGGUGGGUGGGUGGAUGGAUGGAUGGGUGGAUGAGUAGGUGGAUAGAUGGAUGGAUAGAUGAGUGGAUAGAUGGGUGGGUGGGUGGAUGGAUGCAUAGGUGGGUGGAUGGAUGGAUGGGUGGAUGGAUAGAUGGGUGGAUAGAUGGUGGAUGGAUGGAUGCAUGCAUGCAUAGGUGGAUAGGUGAAUGGAUAGAUGGAUUGAUAGAUGGGUGGAUAGAUGGGUGGAUGAAUAGGUGGAUGGAUGAAUAGGUGGAUAGAUGGAUGGAUGGAUGGAUAGAUAGGUGGAUAGAUGGGUGGGUGGAUGGAUGGAUGGAUGAAUAGGUGGAUGAAUGGAUGGAUAGAUAGAUGGGUGGAUGGGUGGAUAGAUGGGUGGAUGGAUGGAUGGAGAGAUGGGUGGAUGAGUAGGUGGAUAGAUGGAUGGAUAGAUGAGUGGAUAGAUGGGUGGGUGGGUGGAUGGAUGCAUAGGUGGAUGGAUGGAUGGAUGCAUAGGUGGAUAGGUGAAUGGAUAGAUGGAUUGAUAGAUGGGUGGAUAGAUGGGUGGAUGGAUGGAUGGAUGGAUGAAUAGAUGGAUGGAUCAAUAGGUGGAUAGAUGGAUGGAUAGAUGGGUUGAUGGAUGAAUGGAUGGAUGGAUGGAUGGAUGGAUGGAUAGAUGGAUGAGUAGGUGGAUAGGUGAAUGGAUGGAUGAAUAGAUGGGUGGAUGAGUAGGUAUAUAGAUGAAUGGAUAGAUGGUUGGGUGGAUGGAUGGAUAGAUAGAUGGGUGCAUAGAUGGGUGGAUGGAUAGCUGUAUGAAUGGAUGGAUGGGUUGGUGGAUGGGUGGAUGGAUGGAUGGAUAGAUGUGUGGGUGGAUGGAUGAUUGGAUAGAUGGAUGGAUGAAUGGAUGGUGGAUGGAUGUGUGGAUGGGUGAAUGGAUGGAUGGCCUGGAUUCUCAGCCAAAGGCUCAAAUGCUUCAGUGUGUAAAAAUUAUGAACCUCACCAUGGAGGCAGGGAGACACAGACCUCCCUGGACGGCCACCAAGCCGUGGGCCAACGGCUCUCAGUGUGGACAGGGUAGGGCUCUCGUGACUGUGCACCCUGUGCCCGACCCUUGAGCUGUGUCCAUAGAAUGUGCCUCUCUGUUUGGCUCUAGAAGCUUCUCUGCCUCAACCUUUCCCAAGCCAAAGCCGAUGGCGGCCUGGGCUUGGCUCCUGCCAGGAGCCUGGACCAUCCAGUGGAACCCAGUUGGGUGUGACCUGGGGCAAGCCUGGCUGCUGAGAGCCCCCCUGCUCUUCACCCUGGGUGGGCAGCUCCCUGGCAGCCCACCUGUCUCUUGCUAGUCACCUCUCCCUCGGGAGCCCAUCCACUGUCUGUAAAGGGGGCCCUGUGGCUGCUCCUUCCUGGCUUCGCCUGCAGACUGCGUGUGGGUCUGUAAAGCGCCACACGGGAGCCUCAGGGGGUGCGGCCAGCAGCCUGCGGCCCCGGGUGCUCCCGGCCUCUGCCCACACCCAGGGAAAGACGGGGUGCUCUUCUUAGAGGCCCCUGCCCUCCAGCCUCUGUGCCAGGUGGAACAGCCCUGUCCCUCUGAAAGACGCAGAAUCAGGAGUCAUCAGGGAGCAGAGAGCACCCCUCCCUGGACGCAGGCCCACCAGCACCUCGGUCUCAGACUUCCAGCCUCCAGAACUGUGGGAAGCAAAUUUCAGUUGUUCCUAAGUGACGCCGCCUUGGGCAUUUUGUUACAGCAA